rnacentral:rRNA from 1 species
CAAUGGGACUGAGACACGGCCCAUACUCCUACGGGAGGCAGCAGUAGGGAAUCUUCCACAAUGGGCGAAAGCCUGAUGGAGCAACACCGCGUGAGUGAAGAAGGGUUUCGGCUCGUAAAACUCUGUUGUUGGAGAAGAACGUAUGUGAUAGUAACUGAUCAUGUAGUGACGGUAUCCAACCAGAAAGCCACGGCUAACUACGUGCCAGCAGCCGCGGUAAUACGUAGGUGGCAAGCGUUAUCCGGAUUUAUUGGGCGUAAAGCGAGCGCAGGCGGUUUUUUAAGUCUGAUGUGAAAGCCCUUGGCUCAACCAAGGAAGUGCAUCGGAAACUGGAAAACUUGAGUGCAGAAGAGGACAGUGGAACUCCAUGUGUAGCGGUGAAAUGCGUAGAUAUAUGGAAGAACACCAGUGGCGAAGGCGGCUGUCUGGUCUGUAACUGACGCUGAGGCUCGAAAGCAUGGGUAGCGAACAGGAUUAGAUACCCUGGUAGUCCAUGCCGUAAACGAUGAAUGCUAGGUGUUGGAGGGUUUCCGCCCUUCAGUGCCGGAGCUAACGCAUUAAGCAUUCCGCCUGGGGAGUACGACCGCAAGGUUGAAACUCAAAGGAAUUGACGG